UCCCUCCGUUUUGCUUAGCUUUCUAUAAGGACAAUUGAAUGGCCGCGGUAACUCUGACCGUGAUAAUGUAGCGAAAUCACUAGCCAGUUAAUUGCUGGCCUGUAUGAAUGGCUAAACGAGGGCUCCACUGUCUCAAUAAUAAACCUAGUGAAAUUGAAACGGUGGCGAAGCUGCCACCUAUGAAUUCUAAGACGAGAAGACCCCAUUGAGCUUUACUAUUAACUUGUAUUGCCAGAGCGCGAGCAAAUAAGCAAAAAGAUUAGAAGGGGAUCCGAAGGAUCCCCUUGCUUCAUAAUAAAAUUGUGUAGACUAAGUGGGAAAAAGAUAAAACAAGGGAUUUAAAAGAAUCCCGGGGCGCGGGAAGGGGGUGCCAAUGGCGUGGUUUUCCCCCCCCGCCCCGGGUCCCGAUUUAUAUGAAAAACCACUCUUUUUAUUAAGAUUACUGUCUACAACCGUACAAGUAAGAUAGUUUGGUUGGGGCGACCGCCUUCGAAAAAGUAUCGAAGGCGCACAUAAGAUUAGUCCGGAGGGGGGUCCGAAGGCCCUCCCGGGGGUAAUGCCCCAAAGAAAAGAUUAGUUUGACUGAGAGGGCUACAACCCGAACAGGCGCUAUUAAAAAGGGAUAAAAAGUCUUUUUGCGGGUCAUAGUGAUCCGUUGUUAUAUUGUGGGAUUGACAACGAUCAACGAAGAAAA
rnacentral:rRNA from 1 species